UACAGAGGGGGCAAGCGUUAUUCGGAAUUAUUGGGCGUAAAGGGCGCGUAGGCGGCCUGGCAAGUGACGGGUGAAAGCCCUCGGCUUAACCGAGGAACUGCCUGUCAGACUGUUAGGCUUGAGACCGGGAGAGGUGAGUGGAAUUCCCAGUGUAGCGGUGAAAUGCGUAGAUAUUGGGAGGAACACCAGUGGCGAAGGCGGCUCGCUGGACCGGUACUGACGCUGAGACGCGAAAGCGUGGGGAGCGAACAGG
rnacentral:rRNA from 1 species